UACGUAGGGGGCGAGCGUUGUCCGGAGUUACUGGGCGUAAAGGGCAUGCAGGCGGUCGGACGCGUUUCGGGUGACAGCGGGUGGCUUAACUACCCGAGUGGUCGAAAGACGGUUUGACUUGAGGACGCGAGAGGGACACGGAAUUCCGGGUGGAGUGGUGAAAUGCGUAGAGAUCCGGAGGAACACCGAAGGCGAAGGCAGUGCCCUGGCGCGUAACUGACGCUGAGGUGCGAAAGCCAGGGGAGCGAACGGGG
rnacentral:rRNA from 1 species